rnacentral:rRNA from 1 species
UACGUAGGGGGCAAGCGUUGUCCGGAAUCAUUGGGCGUAAAGCGCGUGUAGGCGGUUCAGUAAGUCUGCUGUGAAAGUCCAGGGCUCAACCCUGGGAUGCCGGUGGAUACUGCUGGGCUAGAGUACGGAAGAGGCGAGUGGAAUUCCCGGUGUAGCGGUGAAAUGCGCAGAUAUCGGGAGGAACACCAAUUGCGAAGGCAGCUCGCUGGGACGUCACUGACGCUGAGACGCGAGAGCGUGGGGAGCAAACAGG